GUUGCGAGUGAUGAUGACUCAUAUGAUGCUUCAUAUGAUGACAACCAUAUGAAUAUGAAAGCACCAGGCCUCCAGCGGGCAACAGUACUAUCAUUAGUUGAGAGUGAUGAUGGCUCAUCUGAUGACAUCCAUGUAAGUUUAUUGAUGACCAAACUAUUUAUAUUCG